rnacentral:rRNA from 1 species
CCUACGGGUGGCAGCAGUCGAGAAUCAUUCACAAUGGGGGAAACCCUGAUGGUGCGACGCCGCGUGGGGGAAUGAAGGUCUUCGGAUUGUAAACCCCUGUCAUGUGGGAGCAAAUUAAAAAGAUAGUACCCCAAGAGGAAGAGACGGCUAACUCUGUGCGAGCAGCCGCGGUAAUACAGAGGUCUCAAGCGUUGUUCGGAAUCACUGGGCGUAAAGCGUGCGUAGGCGGUUUCGUAAGUCGUGUGUGAAAGGCGCGGGCUCAACCCGCGGACGGCACAUGAUACUGCGAGACUAGAGUAAUGGAGGGGGAACCGGAAUUCUCGGUGUAGCAGUGAAAUGCGUAGAUAUCGAGAGGAACACUCGUGGCGAAGGCGGGUUCCUGGACAUUAACUGACGCUGAGGCACGAAGGCCAGGGGAGCGAAAGGGAUUAGAUACCCCAGUAGUC